rnacentral:tRNA from 1 species
GUACUUUUAGUAAAAUAUUACGUUUGUUUUAGGGUCAAGAGGUGUGUAGUACU